rnacentral:rRNA from 1 species
AUGGCUCUCCCCCUCCACUUCAUGUCAGUGCUCCCACUGCCAGUGUGGGCGAUCAAGGUUAUUGAACGAAGAUGCCGAGGUUUUGUCUGGAAAGGAGAUGAGGAAAUCAACGGGGGGCAUUGUUUACUGCCAUGGACACGGGUCUAUAGGCCAAAGGAGUUGGGUGGCCUCGGCUUGGCCAACCUUAGACUCUUCAGGCUGGCCUUGCAAAGCCGGUGGCCUUGGCUCAGAUGGGCUAAAGAGGAACGACCCUGGCAUAGCUUGCCGGACUCCAUUGAGAAGGAGGUUGGGGCAAUUUUUAAGGCAGCAUGCGCUGUUUUGCUGGGCAACAAUGAGACUGCGAGAUUCUGGACAGACAACUGGUUGCCUGAUGGACGAUCGGCCUGGAUCCAAGAUAUAAGGGGAGGUCUCUUGGUUCAGGCACUCGCGCAAUACCUUGAAAUCUAGGACAUUUCGCAGGCCACGGUACUAACACCUGAAGCUUAUGAUCGCCCGAUCUGGAGGCUAACAGAUAACGUGUUUUCUGUCAGCAGUGCAUAUUGGAUGUUCUUCAUGGCUGGCAUUCGUUUUCCAUGCUACAAACCUAUUUGGAAGUCAAAGGCGCCGCCCCGUUGUCGGUUCUUCAUGUGGCUAGUCGUGCACACGUGAUGCCUCACGGCAGACAACCUGUUGCGUAGAGGCUGGCCAUCCAAUUCUACAUGGCCUCUUUUCAUAGCGGAACCGGAGGACUGCACACAUCUCUUUGUGCACUGCAGAUAUACGUAGCACCUUUGGAGCAUGUUCAGGCAAUGGACGGGUGUGCACUUCUCUAUUCAUGAUGACUCUUGCAAUACCACAGAGGACUGGUGGUUGUCAACAAGGAAGAGCAUCCCCAAGACGAACAGGCGUGAUUUCGACACCAUUGUUAUCCUGGUGCAUUGGAGGAUCUAGAAGGAGCGGAAUGCCAGAAUUUUCCAGCACACGGCCAGCACCGCCAACAGCGUCCUCGACCUGAUUCGUGAUGAUGUUGCUGUGUGGAGGGCAGCUGGGUGUGUUGCAGACAUCUCUGCUUGA